rnacentral:lncRNA from 1 species
ACAACACAAUAAUCUUGACUUGGUACAGGUUUUACAGCUAGUUAAGUCGUGAUAGAGGGGAGGUCUAUAACAACCGACAACAUCAAAUUAUCAAUCAACGGAACAAGUGAAACACAACACAAUAAUCUUGACUUUGUACAGGUUUUACAGCUAGUUAAGUCGUGAUAGAGGGGAGGUCCAAAACAACUGACAAAAUCAAACUAUCAAUCAACGGAUCAAGUGAAACACAACACAAUAAUCUUGACUUGGUACAGGUUUUACAGCUAAUUAAGUCGUGAUAGAGGGGAAGUCCAUAACAACCGACAAAAUCAAACUAUCAAUCAACGGAACAAGUGAAACACAACACAAUAAUCUUGACUUAGUACAGGUUUUACAGCUAGUUAAGUCGUGAUAGAGGGGAGGUCCAUAUAAACCGACAAAAUCAAACUAUCAAUCAACGGAACAAGUGAAACACAACACAAUAAUCUUGACUUGGUACAGGUUUUACAGCUAGUUAAGUCGUGAUAGAGGGGAGGUCCAUACAAACUGACAAAAUCAAACUAUCAAUCAACGGAACAAGUGAAACACAACACAAUAAUCUUGACUUGGUACAGGUUUUACAGCUAGUUAAGUCGUGAUAGAGGGGAGGUCUAUAACAACUGACAAAAUCAAACUAUCAAUCAACGGAACAAGUGAAACACAAUACAAUAAUCUUGACUUGGUACAGGUUUUACAGCUAGUUCAGUCGUGAUAGAGGGGAGGUCCAUAACAACUGACAAAAUCAAACUAUCAAUCAACGGAACAAGUGAAACACAAC